UGGGGAAUAUUGGACAAUGGGCGAAAGCCUGAUCCAGCCAUGCCGCGUGUGUGAAGAAGGUCUUCGGAUUGUAAAGCACUUUAAGUUGGGAGGAAGGGCAGUUACCUAAUACGUGAUUGUUUUGACGUUACCGACAGAAUAAGCACCGGCUAACUCUGUGCCAGCAGCCGCGGUAAUACAGAGGGUGCAAGCGUUAAACGGAAUUACUGGGCGUAAAGCGCGCGUAGGUGGUUUGUUAAGUUGGAUGUGAAAUCCCCGGGCUCAACCUGGGAACUGCAUUCAAAACUGACUGACUAGAGUAUGGUAGAGGGUGGUGGAAUUUCCUGUGUAGCGGUGAAAUGCGUAGAUAUAGGAAGGAACACCAGUGGCGAAGGCGACCACCUGGACUAAUACUGACACUGAGGUGCGAAAGCGUGGGGAGCAAACA
rnacentral:rRNA from 1 species